rnacentral:rRNA from 1 species
UACGGAGGGGGCUAGCGUUAUUCGGAAUUAUUGGGCGUAAAGCGCACGUAGGCGGCGCCGUAAGUCAGGGGUGAAAUCCCGGAGCUCAACUCCGGAACUGCCCUUGAAACUGCAGUGCUAGAAUCUUGGAGAGGCGAGUGGAAUUCCGAGUGUAGAGGUGAAAUUCGUAGAUAUUCGGAAGAACACCAGUGGCGAAGGCGACUCGCUGGACAAGUAUUGACGCUGAGGUGCGAAAGCGUGGGGAGCAAACAGG